CAGCCGCGUCAACGAGGUCGAGGAGUCCCUGACCCAGCCCUUGCCCUCACCUUCAUCGGAUGCCUCACCCGUCUCCAUGGGGUCGGGUACUCUUUCCCUCCCCUACCCUGCCCUCCCCUAGCGGUGGCUGACACACUGUUCUCGUCUAUCUCCCGGGGAUGCCCUGCCCUCCCCUGGCGUGCUGGGGACUGAUGACCGUGGGGAAUUUGAUCUUGUGGCGCCCGUCGAACGUCGAGAGGUUUAUGUGGAUGGAACUACCACCAUAUCUACCCAGCGUUUUGGUUUGGUCUUGUGAUGCUGCCGCACAUUGUCUUUCAUGUUCCUACUAUUUGCCUUUUAGUUUUGACUUGUGAUCCCGACGCACAUUUUCUUUCUACAACUGUGAUAUUUCCCUCCUUCAUUGAUGAAUGCAACUGCAUGAAUGGGACAGCGAAGCCGCUGUCAUGAAAAUUGCAGAAUGAUGACAGAGAUACAAAGGCGUGAAAUAAAAGGCAAAUGUGAAGCUCUUGCAUCAAUCCUCAGACUGCUUCCUGCAAAAUUUCCCGCAUAACUACAACAUGGUAGUCUUGAAAGAUUGGCUACUUAAUAGUAUGGAGAGGACAAGAUCGAAAAGGAUGGUGAUAUAAGGAAAGCGGGGAGUGGAAGAGGAAGAAAGUUGGGAUGACAAUUAUAAAUAGAAUAUCGAGUUUGAUGAUGAUGACGAUGAUUGGAACCAAGAGGAGGAACCAAGUAAGUUUCAUUUGAUUUUCUGUUCAUAUGGCGGCUACUGUGACCAGAUAUGUAAAGUCUGGAUUGGUUUACUUACUUUCUUGUAUGUUCUAUACUUAUAGUUUUUCAGUACUUGCUUCUUGUUGCCUCUCAGUGUAUCAUUAAAUAAUCAGUUGACCAGUGUUGACAAUGGUGCAUCGAUCCUAUUUAGUUCUGGUUCUGUAUGCCUCCCCAGCUACAGCUUAU